UACGUAGGAGACGAGCGUUGUCCGGAAUCACUGGGCGUAAAGCGCGUGUAGGCGGAUCGGCAAGUCUGCUGUGAAAGCUCCUGGCUUAACCGGGCGAGGUCGGCGGAAACUGUCCGACUAGAGGACGGUAGAGGGGGGGUGGAAUUCCCGGUGUAGUGGUGAAAUGCGUAGAGAUCGGGAGGAACACCGGUGGCGAAGGCGGCCUGCUGGGCAGUUGCUGACACUGAGGCGCGACAGCGUGGGGAGCAAACAGG
rnacentral:rRNA from 1 species